UACGAAGGGGGGCUAGCGUUGCUCGGAAUCACUGGGCGUAAAGCGCACGUAGGCGGCUUUUUAAGUCAGGGGUGAAAUCCUGGAGCUCAACUCCAGAACUGCCUUUGAUACUGAGAAGCUUGAGUCCGGGAGAGGUGAGUGGAACUGCGAGUGUAGAGGUGAAAUUCGUAGAUAUUCGCAAGAACACCAGUGGCGAAGGCGGCUCACUGGCCCGGUACUGACGCUGAGGUGCGAAAGCGUGGGGAGCAACAGG
rnacentral:rRNA from 1 species